UACGUAGGGGGCAAGCGUUGUCCGGAAUCAUUGGGCGUAAAGAGCGUGUAGGCGGCCCGGUAAGUCCGCUGUAAAAGUCAAAGGCUCAACCUUUGAAAGCCGAUGGAUACUGUGAAGCUAGAGUACGGAAGAGGCGAGUGGAAUUCCUGGUGUAGCGGUGGAAUGCGCAGAUAUCAGGAGGAACACCAAUAGCGAAGGCAGCUCGCUGGGACGUUACUGACACUGAGGCGCGAAAGCGUGGGGAGCGAACAGG
rnacentral:rRNA from 1 species